rnacentral:rRNA from 1 species
AGAGUUUGAUCCUGGCUCAGGACGAACGCUGACGGUGUGCUUUAGGCAUGCAAGUCGAACGAGAAGCCCUUCGGGGUUAGUAAAGUGGCGAACGGGUGAGUAACACGUGGGCAACCUGCCCCUCGCAGGGGGACAACCGGAGGAAACUCCGGCUAAUACCCCGUACGCUUGUUGGAUCGCAUGGUCCGGCAAGGAAAGGUAGCUUCGGCCAUCCGGCGAGGGAUGGGCCCGCGUUGCAUUAGCUAGUUGGUGGGGUAACGGCCCACCAAGGCAACGAUGCGUAGCUGGUCUGAGAGGAUGAUCAGCCACACUGGGACUGAGACACGGCCCAGACUCCUACGGGAGGCAGCAGCCAGGAAUCUUGGGCAAUGGGCGAAAGCCUGACCCAGCAACACCGUGUGGGUGACGAAGGCCUUAGGGUCGUAAAGCCCUGUUGAUAGGGACGAAGGGCGAAGGGUUAAUAGCCCCCAGCUUGACGGUACCUUUCGAGGAAGCCCCGGCUAACUACGUGCCAGCAGCCGCGGUAAUACGUAGGGGGCGAGCGUUGUCCGGAAUUAUUGGGCGUAAAGAGCGUGUAGGCGGUUCGGUAAGUCUGCUGUGAAAUCCUAGGGCUCAACCCUGGGCGUGCAGCGGAUACUGCCGGGCUAGAGGGUGGUAGAGGCGAGUGGAAUUCCGAGUGUAGCGGUGAAAUGCGCAGAUAUUCGGAGGAACACCAGUAGCGAAGGCGACUCGCUGGGCCACACCUGACGCUGAGACGCGAAAGCGUGGGGAGCGAACAGGAUUAGAUACCCUGGUAGUCCACGCCGUAAACGAUGGAUACUGGGUGUGGGCGGAGUCGAAUCUGUCUGUGCCGAAGUUAACGCGUUAAGU